CCAGCCUAUAGGUGUUUACUUUGUUCUUCCAAGUUCAGCAAAUGUGGGAGGCCAAGAGCCUCUUUGAAAAAAAAGGUUUUCACAUUUUGAUCUCUUGUAGAACCUGCAGGAGGCAUUUGAGAGGCUCUGGGUUCAGUUUUUAGCACCAGCAAACAACAAAACAAAAGGAAUAAAAAUGAAAAAAAGAAAUGCCAGCUCAAUUAAUUUGGAUUUGAAUAAGACGGAAGGGUGCUCCAAGGUUUAGAGUAAUUAUUGCGCUUUCAGAUGACCCAGGUUCAGUCACCAGCACCACAAAAGGUGGCUGACGGCUGCCUUUAACUCCAGUUCAGCCUCCUUGGGCACCUGGACUCACAAGGCACAUGGACAUAUACAUCAAUACGGGAAUAUCUAUUUCUUCACAAGUGUGUGUGGGGGGAGUGGGGCCAUGACCACAUUCUGUGUAGCUCAGCCACCCACCUCCCACCUGGCUUAGUGAGCCAUAGUGUCCUCUUGUGGACACUGUGAGGAGUGAUUGAAGCCAGCAUAGAAAAGAGAAGCUGAGGGCUGGAGAGAGGGCUCAGCGGUUAAGAGCACCGACUGCUUUUUCAGAGGACCUGGGUUCAAUUUCCAGCACCCCCACGGGAGCUCACAACUGUCUGUAGCUCCAGCUCCAGGACAGCCAGGGCUACGCAGAGAAGCCCUGUCUCAAAACAAACAAACAAGCAAACAAAACCUAAAAAAAAUUUUAAAAAGAGAAAAGGAGGAAGAAGGAAAGAAGAGAGAGAGGGAAAAAGAAAAGAAAAAAGAUGACGGAGCUGCUUAUUUCGGGUCCUCCGAAACUAGGACUGCUGGCCCUGGCCAGAGCGGGCGGCAGGCCCUCGGGGUAGCUCACUUACAAACUGUAGAGCCUCGCUGUGGAUGGCACUCGGCCUGUGAGUCACACAAAGGGAUGCCUGUUCCUGCCCACUGCUGACCUGUCGCUGAGGAAUCACUGCCUCACCCAGCCACACAACUGGUUUUGAAGUUUGUGAGUGGUGUGGGCUUGGCACGAGAGGGGACUGUCUUCACCGGAGCCUCCUGGGUUGUCUUUAGAAGCAAUCUCCUACCUUCCUGCUCGCCUGGAGAGCGGGGUUCAGCUUGUCUUCUCUGACAGAAAUGCCAUAGGUCCCUUCUAAAGCCUCAGGUACCCCUCCCUGACUAUCACCACCUUCGUAAAUGUUCUAAUUUACAGAUCUCCUCCUUUUUGCACUAAGGAAAGAGUACAGAGCAUGUGACCUAUCUCUGUCCAGUCCGGAUGUGUGUGGUUCAGGUCCCCGUGUUCUGUGCAAGGGUUUCCUGCUAGAUUCCGAAGUUCAAGAAGAUUUGGCCCUUGGGUAGCUUGGAUUUUCCAUUAGGAGGCCUGCUGUGCCUCGCUUUGUCUCUUCCUUGGUCUUUAAAGUUUUGAUAGCAUCAAGUUAGGCGGCACUGGGUAAUCUCAGGUCACACUUCUCUGCGUUGUUGACUAAAGCACCGUUUCCUGAGAGUUUGGAUGGAGCUGUGCUUGAGGGCAGCUUCUCACACCAAGCCUGCUGACCUGAAUGACAGCCAGGAUCCACGUGGUGGAAAGUGAGAACCUCUGACUUCUACAAGCAUGAGGUGGCACUUGUGCAUACAUAAGUAAAUAAAUAUAAUUUAAAAGAAUUUUGAAGGGGGCUGGAGAGAAGGCCCAGCUGCUGAGCGCACUGGGCGUUCUUCCAGAGGACCUGGAUUUGAUCAGCACCCAUAGGGCAGCGCCCAGUGUUCUGUAACUCCAGUCCCAGGGGAUUCUUUAUGUUUUCCUUGGGCACUAGACAUAUAUGCAGGCAAACACCCACACACGAAAAAUGGAAAAAAAUAUUUUUGAGACAGUGUCUUCAUGUAGCUUUGGUUGUUCUAAUGUAGAAGAGGCUGUCCUUGAACUCACAGAGAUCCACCUGUCUAUGCCUCCUGAGUUCUGGUUUUAAAGGUGUGGUUUGAAAAUAAAUAAAUAGAGGAAUUUAAAAGUAAAGCAGGCAGGAAGGGGAAGAAACCGGGUAACAAGGCCUCACCCUUACCUGUGUCUACUUAGAGAUUCCUUCCCCUGAAGAUUUGUGGGCUCUGACUCCAGCCUGCUACCCAAUCUUCUCUUCUGUGGGAGGAAUUAAUAGUGAGUGUUGACAUUUAUUUUACCUUUGACCUUCUAGUGUAGUCAUGGAAGAACUUUGACAAGUGAGCCGCCUCCCUUUAAGCUAGUCUAGAGCUGGACACUGAGACUCCGUCUGGGCCUGCUCCUCCCACCAUCAGGAUGCUGGAAGGAGGUGGCUCUUUCUUUGGCAGAAAACAGCAUGCACAUAGUCCUAGGCUGCUCUUGUGAGUUCUUCCUCAGCUCAGACACUGAACUCUCUCUUUCUCUCCCCAUUUCUCUCCUAGAUCCAACCUCCCCAUGAAGUUCAUUAGAGUUUGAUCCUUGAAACUUGACAGAGGGUCAUCUAUUUCUGUGACUUUUACUUUCUUUUAUUCUUUCUUUCUUUCUUUCUUUCUUUCUUUCUUUCUGACAGACUCUCACACUGCCUGUAUCCCAGGGUGGCUCUGAACUGAAGACCUUUCUGCCUUUGUCUCCUGAGUGCUGGAAUUACAAAAGCAAGUCCCCUUGUCUGGCUUAUUUCUGUGGCUUAAAUACCUACUCUUGUUAAACGCGGUUUGCUUUCAUUUUGGAGCUCCAGGGUGAGGUUUAAAAAGGAGUUAAGUUGGCAGUGGCAGUCAUUCAUCCAACAACGUGUUUCAUCUAAAUGAGACGCAAACCUAGUGCAAAAAUGAAUUCCACACAGGCCUCGAAACCUGAUCCCCAAACAUCUCAGCUAGCAGCCCCACCAGAACCCAGUGUCCUGACCCUGGUGCUGGGUCUCAGGCUCUGCCUCCCUCACAAGGUAUCUCGCUGCCCGUAGAAUAAAGCUCAAACUUCUCUGCAAAGCCUAGAAAGCAACACAAGUCAGCAUUGAACUUGGGUGUUAAAGCUGGACUGUUUUUUUUUGGGGGGGGCACUGCUAGUUUUGUUACUCUGUUGGGAUCAUCUCUUUGUGUACUGUGUAAAGGUUGUCUUUGUAUUAUUCAAAUGCUGAUUUAUGUACCCGCAAAGAUUUGACAACAGGCUGGACCUCGGUAUUGUUAUUUUUUUCACGAAGCAUCGCCUGUCUCUGUUUCGUAAACAUCUUUCCCAUCACCUUCUGACUGGUUUAAUAAAGAGCUGAACAACCUAUAGCAACGCAGGAGAGGGAUGGGAAUGCUGGGGGAAAAAAUCAGGUGCAGGAGACUGGCCAACCAGAUGAAGAGGAAGAAACAGGUGCUGGUACUGAGGAGCGGUAGCAAGCAGAAUGUAGAUUAGUAUAAACUAAGUUAUACCAGCACGUUGGGGACAAGCCUAAGCUAAGGCUAUGUUUUCAUAUAUAAAUAAAGUCUCUGCAUCAUUAUUUGGGCGCUGGCGGUGGAGACAAUCCGGCGAUCCAGUUCUCUAUACGACUCUGGGCAAAAUACUUCGAUCUCUCUGUGCCUCACUUUACACCACCUAGAAGAGUCACUGAACGACACGAUUAUCUGCUUCUUAAGAAGGUGAGUCGUGCCUGCGCCCUGCUGCGGGUACUUAUAAGCCACCUCCUCACCGCCUCCGCGGCUUUUACUCCUUCACGAUGCUCCAGCCACACUGCGUCGCUCUGAGUUCCUUAAGUGGGCCUUCACGGCUAAACACUCCGCUUCAAGGCAGCUCCAGAAGCAAGUCAUCCUCGACCAUCCUCCUAAAACAGGUCCUUCGAAAACGAACUCUCUUCCUUUCUAACACUGGCCACCAUUUUUGUAGCUUUUUAAUUUUUCCCAGACAAGGUAGGCCAGGCUGGCCCGAACUCACGUAUAGAGCCUAGGUGGCUUAGAACUCCCAGUCUUCUGGCCUCGGGUUCUCACGUAGCGAAUUUGUUUAACGCCUGGUACCAUCACCACAAAAGCCCACCAGGGAGAACUGACUGUACUGGUUCUAUUUUCAGAAUAGGCCUGGUGACGUGAUGUAGCUCUCUAGAGCACUGGCCUCGGACCUGCUAACUGUAGCAAGGCCUUGGGUUUCAUCCCCAGACCUUCUAGUGCAACAAAGUGGAUCGAAUUCAUUAUCACCCAACUGCACUUACUGAAGACCCGGAUGAGGAAGUAAAUAGAUGGAAGUUACAGGCAUCUGUACUUCCCACCCACUGGUGAUCCCAACCUUUGAAUAAACGACCGCGUGCUUGCUUUUCUUCCUCGAA